CAAGCAUUCUAAACCAUUUUUGUGAAAUCCUUUUUUCAUUUGGAUGCUCAAGAACUAUAACUCAAGUCUAACGACUAUAACAAUCCGUGCACCAUUUCCAUGUACAAAGAAAUCAGAUUAACAAUUAAUUUUGAACCAAAGGUGUAAAUCUUGUAACUAUGACAAUAAUGUUCUUCGGCCACCAAUGGAUCCCUGGUUGAACUCCUAAAUAUUUUGCUCACUGAAGCUGUGCAAAUGAUAGACACUUGACACUGCUGAAUGUAUAGAUGAACACAGAGAUAUGUGCAAAGUGACUAAGCACCAUCAAAACUUAAACAAGUAGCGUUCCAUUAGCCAUCCAAGAAGCAGCAACAAGCAGAGCAUGACCAUUUAUUUCAAUUAAAACAAUUUGGGAACUUCAUUAACGUACAUAAACCUUGAGCAAAGCAUAUUUUGCAUUCACAAAUUAAUAGUUACAUACGUUUUGGAAGAUAAAAGAAACAGACUACCAUAUUUUUUAGGGAUUCAAAGGUUAAACUUUGGAAACCAGAGGAGUAAUAAAGCCCAGCAGCAGGCACCACCAUAUAUAACUCCAAAAUGUCCUUGAAAUCUCAUAAUAAAGCACAACCAAUUCUGAACUCUCAAGAAAGAACUCAUUUGUUUAUUUUUAGGAAUAACCAACAACAAAAUCAAGCAGAAUAUCCAACAUGGGCAAUCAGUGCAAGAAGCUGGGAGUUAAUCACAAACCAUAACGAAAGACAGUACUUUAACCCCUAUUUAGAUUGUAUUCAACGCAACCACAAGUUUACAACACAUGAUUAAAUCUUCAUUCCACUAUGUACAGGGACUGAUAAUCUGGUUUGGGCCUUCUUAAAGAGCAAUAACACCAAUAGGAAUGCACACAUAUAUUAGGAAGCUAAUCUCAAUUUAUUCUGGACUUGGUGACAUGCUUACUAUAAGAUUCUCACAAUGAUCUAGAUUCAUACCAAACCUUUAAAUCAACCAAGAUAUUAAGUCAAACAUGGUAUGGUGGUCUUUCAACCAAGCUAACAAACAUCAGUGAGCUUCAUCAGGCCUAAGAGUGUCAACAACAGAUUUCAAUUUUCAGAUUCUAUAUAAUUGCAUUAUUAAGGCUAACAUACUCUAUAAGGUAAUCUCAAGUGAGGGAAAUAGUAACAUGGGCAAUGGUAUUCCCUGAAAGAGAGGAUAUAAAGUUCAUGAGCACAGAUAUGGAAAGCCAACGAAAUUCAACCAAACUUAUGCACAAGGAGGCUUCUACCAGAUUUCAUGGUUAUCUCAGCUUCACAUAACUGAACCUCAAACUUUAAUUUUAAAUCCAAACAAUGGAAAUCAAUAGACUCGAACCAAGGUUUCAGCUACAGAAUAGACAUAACUCGCCAGACUUUACCAAAAAACCUCAACUAGUGACAAAUCAAUAAGAAACUAAAAUUCAACCUCACUGAUAAAACUCAAAUGGCAGCAACAAUGGAAUACAAACUCAGAAAUUCCUUAACUUAAGAAUAGCCAAAAACAGAGUUACAUGGUGAAAAGGAAAAUCAAACCUGAAGUUGCAAACAUCUGUUAAUAAUUACAGCCUUAAUAAUACGCCUUUCGCCUUCGAAUACUAGCAAGGUUCAGCAACAAAUCAAUAGAACAAUAAUAGUAAACCCAAGCUUGAACUUCAGUUCAGUUUUUCAUCUCUUUGGAAGUCCAAGAUGGACUCAAAAAAAUGUGUACGCUUCUCUUAACCUUUGAAAGAACUCUUUAAAAAAAGAAAAGGGAAUUAGAAAGCCAGAAGUUUUAAGAAACCUUUCAACUUUUCUCUCCAUUUUUUUUGCCAUCCCCCUUUUCUCAAAAUCGGAUAAGGCUCGUUUUGAAGACGAAUCCUUGACGAAUUUUGGGCUUGGAUUGAGUGAAAUUCAUCCAACGCCUCACACUCAUCCAGCAUAUCAUCCCUAGAACCUUCCAAUCAUGAGAUAUAACACAAAUUCGAGCGACUGACAGGAGAGGGGAAUCUUGGCGUCAGAAACCGUUAGCAACGACAAGAUGAGAGAUGGAGGGACACAUUGGUUAGGGAUUUGGGAUCACUCGCCAUGGAUUUGGGCAGAAAUGGGGCUGGAUUCGAGUGUAUUUUGUGGAGAAGAAGAACAGUCGCGUUGCUGGGUCUGAGAUUUAUCAUUGUUCACUAUAAA
rnacentral:lncRNA from 1 species